rnacentral:tRNA from 1 species
ACCAGGCUGGCUUAGUUGGUAGAGCGUGUGACUCUUGAUCUCAGGGUUGUGAGUUCGAGCCCCACAUUGGGUA